rnacentral:rRNA from 1 species
UCGGGGGGGAGCCCCUUUAGGGGAGGCUUCGAAGCGGGCCGCCCAGUGGUGAAUGGGAUAUCCUGGCAGAAANUUCGCCCCUUUGGGAUCCAAAGCCCCCAUUUGAGGAUGAUCCCAGCCCGGCACCCUUCCCGGGUACGGGGCUACCUUUUGCCCUACGAACUUUCGUUCCCCAAAUCGGCCCGAAUCCCCGGCCUUUCGAAAGGGCUUCCCUUUCCACAAAAGGGGUUGUGGGGCCACCCGGGCUUUUCGGGGGGGUUACCCGACAUUUUUCGUGGAAGU